UCAAACUUGGUCAUUUAGAGGAAGUAAAAGUCGUAACAAGGUUUCCGCUGUAAGUCCUCGGACUGGAACAUGAUUCCUUCCGCAGUGUACACUUAUCGAAGCCUUUGCAGCCACGCAAGUGGUCGGUCCAGGCGACUCUAAAUAAAUUGGUGCCCUGAUGCAAGUCCGUCGCCCCUGAAUGGUUUAGGGGCGUCCGGGCGACACUUUUGAAUUGACGGGGACUCCCUAACGCCAAUCGCACCAACCAAUGCAUCAUUACUGAGUCUAGGCCCCCUCGCGGGUCGAACCUCCCACCCUUGUCUCUGUGAUACCCUGUUGCUUCGGCGAGCCCACUGGGCUUCCAGUCGCUGGGGGGCCUCCCGUCCCCGGGCCCGCGCUCGCCGAAGCGCCUCUUGAACCCUGAUGAAGAUGGGCUGUCUGAGUAAGAUGAGAAUUAUCAAAACUUUCAACAAUGGAUCUCUUGGUUCCGGCAUCGAUGAAGAACGCAGC
rnacentral:misc_RNA from 1 species